rnacentral:rRNA from 1 species
AACGAACGCUGGCGGCAGGCUUAACACAUGCAAGUCGAACGCCCCGCAAGGGGAGUGGCAGACGGGUGAGUAACGCGUGGGAAUCUACCCAACCCUACGGAACAACUCCGGGAAACUGGAGCUAAUACCGUAUACGCCCUACGGGGGAAAGAUUUAUCGGGGAUGGAUGAGCCCGCGUUGGAUUAGCUAGUUGAUGGGGUAAAGGCCUACCAAGGCGACGAUCCAUAGCUGGUCUGAGAGGAUGAUCAGCCACAUUGGGACUGAGACACGGCCCAAACUCCUACGGGAGGCAGCAGUGGGGAAUAUUGGACAAUGGGCGCAAGCCUGAUCCAGCCAUGCCGCGUGAGUGAUGAAGGUCUUAGGAUUGUAAAGCUCUUUCACCGGAGAAGAUAAUGACGGUAUCCGGAGAAGAAGCCCCGGCUAACUUCGUGCCAGCAGCCGCCGUAA